GCCAUAUUGAAUACCCUGUCAACUAUCUGUCAACCCUAAGAUAUCUCACUUGUAUUCUUCCACAAUGUAAAACAGUUUUCUCGCUCCCUCUUGACAAAAUCGGC